CAGCCGCCACGGGAAUACGUAGGUGGCAAGCGUUGUCCGGAAUUAUUGGGCGUAAAGGGCUCGCAGGCGGUUUCUUAAGUCUGAUGUGAAAGCCCCCGGCUCAACCGGGGAGGGUCAUUGGAAACUGGGAAACUUGAGUGCAGAAGAGGAGAGUGGAAUUCCACGUGUAGCGGUGAAAUGCGUAGAGAUGUGGAGGAACACCAGUGGCGAAGGCGACUCUCUGGCCUGUAACUGACGCUGAGGAGCGAAAGCGUGGGGAGCGAACAGGAUUAGAUACCCGGGUAGUCCCUGUCUCUUAUAC
rnacentral:rRNA from 1 species